AGUGAACGCUGGCGGCAGGCCUAAUACAUGCAAGUCGAACGGCAGCACAGCAGAGCUUGCUCUGUGGGUGGCGAGUGGCGGACGGGUGAGGAAUACAUGGGAAUCUGCCCAGUCGUGGGGGAUAACGUAGGGAAACUUACGCUAAUACCGCAUGCGCCCUUCGGGGGAAAGCCGGGGACCUUCUGGCCUGGCGCGGUUGGAUGAGUCCAUGUCGGAUUAGCUAGUCGGCGGGGUAAAGGCCCACCAAGGCGACGAUCCGUAGCUGGUCUGAGAGGAUGAUCAGCCACACUGGAACUGAGACACGGUCCAGACUCCUACGGGAGGCAGCAGUAGGGAAUAUUGGACAAUGGGCGCAAGCCUGAUCCAGCCAUGCCGCGUGAGUGAAGAAGGCCUUCGGGUUGUAAAGCUCUUUUGUCCGGAAAGAAAAGCAUCCAGUUAAUACCUGGGUGUCCUGACGGUACCGGAAGAAUAAGCACCGGCUAACUUCGUGCCAGCCGCCGCGGUAAUAC
rnacentral:rRNA from 1 species